CUUGAAGAAAGGGGUCAAAGAAGGAUGUAAAAGGCUGUGAGGGGGGAGAUUUUUGGCAGAUUUUUGGAGACACACUUCUGAUCAACACCAGCCUUUUUCUCUGAGUACCAACCCAUUCCAACAGUGAGACCAAACAAAGAUGCAGGUCUUGGCAGCGUUGUGCUUCCUUGUCUUGGCACACCUGCCCCCCCUGAGGGGGGAGGUAGUAGAAAGCUUC